rnacentral:misc_RNA from 1 species
UACGAGCUUGCGUUAGGGAUAGUAGCGGUUAGCUCCCAAUUUUUAUUGGGACUAAUAGCGAAUAGCCCGCCCUUUU